rnacentral:rRNA from 1 species
CCUACGGGUGGCAGCAGUCGAGAAUCAUUCACAAUGGGGGAAACCCUGAUGGUGCGACGCCGCGUGGGGGCAUGAAGGUCUUCGGAUUGUAAACCCCUGUCAUGUGGGAGCAAAUUAAAAAGAUAGUACCACAAGAGGAAGAGACGGCUAACUCUGUUCCAGCAGCCGCGGUAAUACAGAGGUCUCAAGCUUUGUUCGGAAUCACUGGGCGUAAAGCGUGCGUAGGCUGUUUCGUAAGUCGUGUGUGAAAGGCACGGGCUCAACCCGCGGAGCGCACAUGAUACUGGGAGACUAGAGUAAUGGAGGGGGAACCGGAAUUCUCGGUGUAGCAGUGAAAUGCGUAGAUAGCGAGAGGAACACUCGUGGCGAAGGAGGGUUCCUGGACAUUAACUGACGCUGAGGCACGAAGGCCAGGGGAGCGAAAGGGGUUAGAUACCCCAGUAGUC